rnacentral:Y_RNA from 1 species
UGCUAGUCCAAAGGCACUUAUCUCAACUGAUUGUUCAUAGUCAGGUACUUACUGAACACCUGUUCUAUGCUUUCCCCUUCUCACUACUACACCUGACUAGUUAAU